rnacentral:rRNA from 1 species
UACGUAGGGUGCGAGCGUUGUCCGGAAUUAUUGGGCGUAAAGAGCUCGUAGGCGGCUUGUCGCGUCGGAUGUGAAAGCCCGGGGCUUAACUCCGGGUCUGCAUUCGAUACGGGCAGGCUAGAGUUCGGUAGGGGAGAUCGGAAUUCCUGGUGUAGCGGUGAAAUGCGCAGAUAUCAGGAGGAACACCGAUGGCGAAGGCAGGUCUCUGGGCCACUACUGACGCUGAGACGCGAAAGCGUGGGUAGCAAACAGG